rnacentral:rRNA from 1 species
UACGUAGGUGGCAAGCGUUGUCCGGAUUUACUGGGCGUAAAGAGCGCGCAGGCGGUCGUUCAAGUCGCGUGUGAAAGCCCCCGGCUAAACUGGGGAGGGUCACGCGAUACUGAUCGACUCGAAGGCAGGAGAGGGUAGUGGAAUUCCCGGUGUAGUGGUGAAAUGCGUAGAUAUCGGGAGGAACACCAGUGGCGAAGGCGACUACCUGGCCUGUUUCUUGACGCUGAGGCGCGAAAGCUAGGGGAGCAAACGGG